GAUGAACGCUGGCGGCGUGCUUAACACAUGCAAGUCGAACGGGAAUUACUUUAUUGAAACUUCGGUCGAUUUAAUUUAAUUCUAGUGGCGGACGGGUGAGUAACGCGUGGGUAACCUGCCUUAUACAGGGGGAUAACAGUCAGAAAUGGCUGCUAAUACCGCAUAAGCGCACAGAGCUGCAUGGCUCGGUGUGAAAAACUCCGGUGGUAUAAGAUGGACCCGCGUUGGAUUAGCUUGUUGGUGGGGUAACGGCCCACCAAGGCGACGAUCCAUAGCCGGCCUGAGAGGGUGAACGGCCACAUUGGGACUGAGACACGGCCCAGACUCCUACGGGAGGCAGCAGUGGGAAAUAUUGCACAAUGGGGGAAACCCUGAUGCAGCGACGCCGCGUGAAGGAAGAAGUAUCUCGGUAUGUAAACUUCUAUCAGCAGGGAAGAUAGUGACGGUACCUGACUAAGAAGCCCCGGCUAACUACGUG
rnacentral:rRNA from 1 species